AUCUCAGAUGCAUGAUUUAUGUGUUUAUUUGAUUCAUGGGAGGCAUACAUCAAUGAUGGGAGUUUCCUGAUGGCACCUUUUGUUAUUCCUUCUUUGCCAUUCCACCGAAGCUACUGCAAUCAGUU
rfam:Vitis vinifera, whole genome shotgun sequence of line PN40024, unoriented chromosome 9, chr9